rnacentral:lncRNA from 1 species
UAGAAAAGUCAGAUUUAUAAACAAAGGAGUUCAAGUUCAGUACAUAGACUCAGAAUGAGUUUGAUAGAGUCAAGGGUCCCAAAUAGAACCUGAGUCCAAACACAAGAUCAAACCCGCCAAAAACCCCCAAAUCCUAGGGCUUUCAACUUGAACCAGGUACAGAGAUGAGAAGACAAAUAACUAAAACAGGCUCAGAGGUCUCUUUUAGAGACUUAUAAGAAAACAAACAAUAACAAGAUCGAAGCAACAAAGUGAAGAAACUGAUUCGAAACAUAGUAAGAGUAGAAAAGACAUGCUUAAAAAGAAAUUAAAAAAGAAAAAUUGACUUAACAAGUUCAGAAGAGAGGGGAGAUAGUAUAGCACUUUCGGAAACAGUAGAAGAAACAUAUUUAAAAGAACUCAAACAAUGUAUAGAAGAAGGAAAAUAAAGAAAGUAGGAAAUACAUGCAGUAAAAGGGCUCAACGUACUAAAAAAGUAUAUCAACAAGAUAUAGAAAAACAUAACAGGAUAAACAUGUGAGCCUGGUGUAGAAACACAGUAGAACACAAAGCACAUACGAAUCAUGUAUAGUAGAAAAAAAGCAGAAGAAAAUACAUGCGUAGUAGAAAAAAACGUACAAACAUAGUAUUGAAAAAUGCCUUACAAAGAAAAGAAAAGGAAGAUCAGAAAACAAUUUAAGCUUUUCAGAACCAUUGAUCGGAGAGAAGUAAUUUAUGAAAGAAAGAUUUGGGAAAGUAUUUUAAAACUCCAGUAAAACACAUAUAUAGCAUAGAUUCAAAAGAACCAUUAGAGAAAAUCUCAAAUAGCUAGAGUUUUAGAGGAACCCUAGAAUUAGAAAGGCUUGGAAAGGUCUGAUCCUGAGUCAGAUGAGUCAGAACCAGGCUCGAAGUGCUUUAGAUACGCUGGAGCAAGGCAUGAGAUGCCAUGGAACCUUGACUCGGUGAAGAUCUGGACAGACCUCAUUGAGAUCAGACCUCAAAACUUCAAACACCCAGCAUUUAAGAGAGGAGGGAGGUGAGUACAGGCCAUCUAUGGCCUGAGAAGCCAUGGAUUUCGGUGAGAGGGCGGUCGAAGAUGGUAGAAGAUUAUUAUGGUUUCAGGAACCAUCGAGACAGUUUGAGAUGAGAGGAUUUCAGAGGUGGCUGUUAGAAGAGAAUGAGGGGAAAAG